AUUCUGGCUCAGGAUGAACGCUGGCGGCGUGCUUAACACAUGCAAGUCGAACGGGAUCCAUCAAGCUUGCUUGGUGGUGAGAGUGGCGAACGGGUGAGUAAUGCGUGACCGACCUGCCCCAUACACCGGAAUAGCUCCUGGAAACGGGUGGUAAUGCCGGAUGCUCCGACUCCUCGCAUGGGGUGUCGGGAAAGAUUUCAUCGGUAUGGGAUGGGGUCGCGUCCUAUCAGGUAGUCGGCGGGGUAACGGCCCACCGAGCCUACGACGGGUAGCCGGCCUGAGAGGGCGACCGGCCACAUUGGGACUGAGAUACGGCCCAGACUCCUACGGGAGGCAGCAGUGGGGAAUAUUGCACAAUGGGCGCAAGCCUGAUGCAGCGACGCCGCGUGCGGGAUGACGGCCUUCGGGUUGUAAACCGCUUUUGAUCGGGAGCAAGCCUUCGGGUGAGUGUACCUUUCGAAUAAGCACCGGCUAACUACGUGCCAGCAGCCGCGGUAAUACGUAGGGUGCAAGCGUUAUCCGGAAUUAUUGGGCGUAAAGGGCUCGUAGGCGGUUCGUCGCGUCCGGUGUGAAAGUCCAUCGCUUAACGGUGGAUCUGCGCCGGGUACGGGCGGGCUGGAGUGCGGUAGGGGAGACUGGAAUUCCCGGUGUAACGGUGGAAUGUGUAGAUAUCGGGAAGAACACCAAUGGCGAAGGCAGGUCUCUGGGCCGUUACUGACGCUGAGGAGCGAAAGCGUGGGGAGCGAACAGGAUUAGAUACCCUGGUAGUCCACGCCGUAAACGGUGGAUGCUGGAUGUGGGGCCCGUUCCACGGGUUCCGUGUCGGAGCUAACGCGUUAAGCAUCCCGCCUGGGGAGUACGGCCGCAAGGCUAAAACUCAAAGAAAUUGACGGGGGCCCGCACAAGCGGCGGAGCAUGCGGAUUAAUUCGAUGCAACGCGAAGAACCUUACCUGGGCUUGACAUGUUCCCGACAGCCGUAGAGAUAUGGCCUCCCUUCGGGGCGGGUUCACAGGUGGUGCAUGGUCGUCGUCAGCUCGUGUCGUGAGAUGUUGGGUUAAGUCCCGCAACGAGCGCAACCCUCGCCCUGUGUUGCCAGCACGUCAUGGUGGGAACUCACGGGGGACCGCCGGGGUCAACUCGGAGGAAGGUGGGGAUGACGUCAGAUCAUCAUGCCCCUUACGUCCAGGGCUUCACGCAUGCUACAAUGGCCGGUACAACGGGAUGCGAC
rnacentral:rRNA from 1 species